AUGCUGGUGGCUUGGUGCAUCUAGAAGCACCACAAUGCAGCCAUCUCCGUCAGCGCCCAACUCAUCCUAUCUAGCCUCCUUGACACGAUUAGGAUGGAAGCCAGACAUUGGGCAACGACGGGCGCAAGCGGCCUAGCUGCGUUGUUCCCGGCUGUUGAUACUGCUGGCGUUUAG
rnacentral:rRNA from 1 species